UUUGACAUCGGCUUGCAUCUGUAUGGCCGAGAUGCAAUGGCGAUGAAUGUUGAAGCAAUCGAAGAAGAACGCGAUGAAUCAGCACAGAGAAAUGUUCCAUCAACUUCCAUCUUCCACUGUCAUCAUACGCUAGAUGGCAGUACACUGUGGUUGAAAUUCAUACCUCUCCCUCCUAGAAUAAUAAACAAGGUGGAGAGGGAGUAAGAUCUCUAGAAAGCAGCAUGCUGCCACAACCACUGAAUACUGGGGCCUGCCUUGGAGUAUUGUUGUAUUCAUCUCCACCACUUGCCUAGAAAUCAUAUGACGAACCUGCAUAGACUAACAAAGGGAAAUUCUAUCUAGGUUUUUGUUCCAGUACUUCACUAACCCCUCAUUCAACUAAUUGUGGUCUAAAUUGAACAAACACUUGCACAGUUUAGCCCCCUGGGACAGAAAUCACCCAAGUCUGUGUUAUUGAAUGAGCUUCCAAAGUUACACGCUUCAAUUCUGCAUGAUAGAUUAUAACAUGUGUGGAACUAUUUCUAUCAUUAUUUUACUUGCAAAUUUCAUCCUACAAAUUAACAGAACUUCCUUCAACGUGACAACAGUGACAGAACUCUGAACGAGCGCAGAUUCAAAAUCUUCAAGUGUAUUUUUUAUUCACAGCAGAAUAUUCAUAGUCGUAAAUGGACGUGCAGUAAUUUUGAAUAUAAAUUAUGCUUUCAAAUCUUAUUGAAUGUAUUCAAAUGUAGAGUUAAAAGUUUUCUUGACCUUUAUUAAACAUUUCACACGUCCUGAUACCAAGCGUGCGAAAUUAAACGACACAUUUUGCGAAUGGUACUUGCAACCACAGAACUCUAUUUGCGACCACAAUAAUGUAAAAUACAAAUUCACAUAGCUCUGUCAUGAUUAUAAUCCCAUACAACAUAAGCUCUUUCUUAUCCUCAGAAGUACACCAAAUAAAAACGGUCAUUUUCUCAUAAUCCUCCCAGCAUUUACUUUACCCAUCACUCUUUCCACCAGAUUGGAUAUCUCAAAUGGAUUCCUCAGGUUUGGCAACUUGAUAUGCCCCUUCUCAAUUCUCCCCGUUUCCCAUUCUUUUGUACCAUAGGCCAAUCCUCCUCGCCUUCACCGCCAUUAGUUCCAAGAUCUACACCUAAUCAUGCCAUCUUUUUCUCCUUUCCGACCUCUCUCUUUCUGUGUGUGUGAGGGGAAUAAACCAAUAACAGCAAGGAUUUUCGAAUAUACAUUUUAUUAAUCAGAAAAAAAGUAGAAAAACUGCACUGUGACAAAGCAAUGAAGACGAUUUUGUUACAUACAGAUGUGGCAGCAUUGAGAUGACAAUAUAGGGUGGUGGAAGCAUUGUCUGGAACUGGACUGCACUCCUACAGUACAUCAUAGCUCUCUGACAAAAAUAUAAACUAUGCUUUAGGCUCCUAUCAACCAAACCCAAACCAAUCCCUUUGGAGUGGAAGUGUGGAUUUAUGAGUUCUGCCAAUGUAGAUUAAAGGCCCAAUGCAGACCUUUUAUAUAUCAAAUCAUUUCUGGGUAACAAUGAACUACAUUACUGUAAUAGAUUUCCAUUAAAAUGGGCAAAAACAGCUUUUUUUUUAGCAAAAACAAGAAUUUUGCUAGUACUGUCUGGGAGUGGAAAACUAGAAACUAGCUGUUAUUGGCAGAGAGGUUUGGAAUUCUCUUUGUUAUUGGUCUAUUAAUCACUGUACUGCAUGGUGAUGUCACCAUGAAAAAACGAAAAUCCCACCCAUGCAAACCUGCUGAUUAGAAGGUCUUGUGUAGAUUGUAUUUUCAACCAGCAACUAUCAGGAAAUAACACUGA